UUGGAGGGCAAGUCUGGUGCCAGCAGCCGCGGUAAUUCCAGCUCCAAUAGCGUAUACUAAAGUUGUUGCAGUUAAAAAGCUCGUAGUUGAAUUUCGGAAUCCAUCCGUCGGUCGGGCCUCACGGUCCGCACUGGUGUGAUGGAUUCCUACCUUCUGAAUAACCAGCAUGUCAUUAAUUUGGUGCGUUGGGGAAGCAGGACUGUUACCUUGAAAAAAUUAGAGUGCUUAAAGCAGGCUAGUGCCUGAAUACAUUAGCAUGGAAUAAUGAAAUAGGACGGCAUGGUUCUAUUUUGUUGGUUUCUAGGAUCACCGUAAUGAUUAAUAGGGAUAGUUGGGGGCAUUAGUAUUCAAUUGUCAGAGGUGAAAUUCUUGGAUUUAUUGAAGACUAACUUCUGCGAAAGCAUUUGCCAAGGAUGUUUUCAUUAAUCAAGAACGAAAGUUAGGGGAUCGAAGACGAUCAGAUACCGUCGUAGUCUUAACCAUAAACUAUGCCGACUAGGGAUCGGACGAUGUUAAUUUUUUAAUGACUCGUUCGGCGCCUUACGGGAAAC
rnacentral:rRNA from 1 species